AGUAAUUUGUGAAAAUUGAUGAGCAAAUGGUAUUUUCUAUAUACAAUUAGUGUUGAAUUUAAUUUGGGUUUCAAUUAUUAUAUCAUUCCCAAUUUUAUGUGAAAUUACCAAAAUGGCCCUAACCCUAAUUUUUGAAAAAAAAAUGAAACCCUAAUCCUUCCCAAACCUAGCCGCCGCAACCCUUUCCCCCAAAUCAGGCAGCAGCCUCAUCCUCCCUCAGCCUAGCACACACACACACUCAAGAGCUACAGCAGUAGCCUCCAACCCCUUUCUUCCCCCCAAAAUGCAAACACACACAUACAAAUCAGGGGGAGGACGUCUGAGAGCGCUGAGGGAAAGAGAGGGAGCUUCACUGCGCCGUCGUGUUGCCGUUGUAGGAGAGGAAGUUGCGACCCAUUACCACGUGAUGGAGGAGAGAACGCGCGCGCAGGGGGAGGAAGGCGCCAGCCCUGUCGCGCCGCCUCUGUUGUCUGUGCUACCGUCGUCGUCCAAGCUCGUCACCGCCAAUUGCGUCGUCGCCGCCUCUGCCCAACGCCACCGCAGAUGAUGGGUCAUCGAGAACUGCCACCGUUGCUGCCGUCUUUGUGGGGCUUGAUUGUCGUGGUCGCUCCUCACUGCGAAGCCUGUUGCGAGCGCCGCUAUCAGCAUCGUGCUCCUUGGUUCUGUCGAGGAGCCACUGUGACUGCCUCCUUCUCUGCCGCCGAGGUCCUCCGCCGCUGGGUACAGAGAAGAGCAGCGCCGCGUGAAUCAAGGAAAGGAGAUGCCUUUCUGCCUCUGCUCCUGGGUUUUGGAAUCCGACUAAAUGCCGCUGCCGCUGUUGGAGUUUAUGUUGCUCUGGCCUUGCCCUGGCUCCAUCUUGAACCGUGAGAAUCGCUACUACUGGCUUCAUCUGCUGCUGGAACCACUAACGUAACAGACUGAGUCACGGUGAUUCUGGCUGCCAAGGGCGAUUCUGUGACUGUCAGAACCACCGUUGAGGCUUCUGUUCUUUGGUUCAGACGUUAUUCUUUAGUUACAGUAAGUACCUUUGUAUUGAAACUUCCCCGUUCAUAUCCCGUUAUGUGUCUUAAGGAUUUCGCAAUGAUAAUGUUUUCUAGGAUUAAGUUAUCGGAGCCAUAUGUUGCGCGCAAGGGUUGUCCUUGCUGCUGCGAGGGUAAACAAAGCUGUGAUGUAAGCUGCCGAUAAAUUCAGGUUGAUUGAGAGUUUCGGUGACGCGUUUGGAUUAUGAAUUUGUGUUUUGAGGAUAUGGGCGCAGAAGUUACGAAGAAUUUAUUUAGUUAUUGUUGUGAUGCUCUGUAUGGCCUUAGUUAUUAUUUAUUGUACCCUCGCCUUUAACUUGAUAUAUUCUGUAAGAGGGAUAGGAAUUGUAUUGGUUACUAUUUGUAAUAUUAUUUAUAUAUAUGUAUGUAUAUAUAUAUGGAUGUACUCUUUAUGAGUCUCUAUAAGUUGUAUGGUAUGUAUGGAUAUUCGUUGUAUAGUAAAAGUAUUUUUGGGAGCGGUAAUGCGGUUUAAAGUUUUAAACAGGCUCAUAUUUUAGUAUUAAAUAGUAUAAGUGUCGUCGUAAUGUCCGAGCUAUCAGAGUUGCGCAGCCGGAAGCGUGAGCUUUGGUAGUUAGGGUGUUACAUUAUGGUAUCAGAGCAGUUCUUCCUGUAGAGCCUGAGGAAUGGACUGACUAUGCUUCAAUUGCAUACUCUGAGCGUUUGUCAUGUAUUAGGUCUUGUCGAAUGACGAGAAUUAGAGCUUUAUGCACAUGACGAUCUAUUGAUUAACGUUGUUAGUCUUGCAUUACAUAAUUCUUGGUAUUAAGUUUGGCCGGCUUAAUACUAGUGAAUUAUGUAUAUGAAAGCACUGAUGGGUUAUCAUAGAUAAAAUGCGAGUUUUGAGUAAAGCGAAUCGCGGGUUUUGGGAGCGUUAAAAACUAUUUCUCGAGGCUAUUCAGUUGUGUGUCUUGAGUCCUAUUUGAGUCGACCUGUUCUUUCAUAUCCUAACUUGAAGUUCUUGUUUACUAACCCUCUUGAAAAGUAGUUUGAUUUUCUCAUCUCUAUUCCUCUAUUCAUAUGCCUUCUUGAUUGAUCUUAAUUGCAUAUGCUUGUUUGGAAUCCUUGUUGCAUCUGUCUUCCUCAGUUUGAGUUCUUCUUGAUUCACGUAUUCUUCCUGAUCACCUUGUGGCUCCAUGAGAGCCACUGUCAAGCUAUUGACAUUAAAGAAGCGCUUGUUGGGAGGCAACCCAAUUUUAUCUAAUUUUUAUUUUAUUAUAUUUCAUUGUUAUUUU